rnacentral:rRNA from 1 species
CCUACGGGAGGCAGCAGUGGGGAAUAUUGGACAAUGGGGGCAACCCUGAUCCAGCCAUGCCGCGUGUGUGAAGAAGGCCCUCGGGUCGUAAAGCACUUUCAGUGAGGAAGAACGCCUGGUGGUUAAUACCCAUCAGGAAAGACAUCACUCACAGAAGAAGCACCGGCUAACUCCGUGCCAGCAGCCGCGGUAAUACGGAGGGUGCGAGCGUUAAUCGGAAUUACUGGGCGUAAAGCGCGCGUAGGUGGCUUGAUAAGCCGGUUGUGAAAGCCCCGGGCUCAACCUGGGAACGGCAUCCGGAACUGUCAAGCUAGAGUGCAGGAGAGGAAGGUAGAAUUCCCGGUGUAGCGGUGAAAUGCGUAGAGAUCGGGAGGAAUACCAGUGGCGAAGGCGGCCUUCUGGACUGACACUGACACUGAGGUGCGAAAGCGUGGGUAGCAAACAGGAUUAGAUACCCCGGUAGUC